rnacentral:rRNA from 1 species
GCAUAUCAAUAAGCGGAGGAAAAGAAAAUAACAAUGAUUCCCCCAGUAACUGCGAGUGAAGAGGGACAAGCUCAAAUUUUAAAUCUGUCAGGUGAUACCUGGCCGAGUUGUAAUUUGAAGAAGCGUUUUCCGCGCGUUCUGGUCAGCCCAAGUUCCUUGGAACAGGGCAUCAUGGAGGGUGAGAAUCCCGUUCGGUUGAUCAGGUGCGUUUUACGAUACGCUUUCAAAGAGUCAAGUUGUUUGGGAUUGCAGCUUAAAAUGGGAGGUAAAUUUCUCCUAAGGCUAAAUAUUGGCGAGAGACCGAUAGCGAACAAGUACCGUGAGGGAAAGAUGAAAAGCAUUUUGAAAAGAAAGUCAAAUAGCACGUGAAAUUGUUGAAAGGGAAACGAUUAAAGUCAGUCGUACCGAUGGGCAUUCAACUCCUUGAGCGCGAUCAUGUUGGGUGUUGGGGAGCUUAGCCGUCCUCGCGUCCGCGUAUUUGUGCUCUUCGGGUGUACUUGUCCGUAUGGUAGGUUAACAUCAAUUUUGGUCGUCAUAAAAUGACGGGGGGAAUGUAGCUUCGAUCUCGUAUUGAAGUGUUAUAGCCUCUGGUAGAUGUGGUGGUUGGGAUCGAGGAUUGCAACGAAUACCCUUGGGCUAUCCGCCUGACCUCUGAAAGUCGCUUGGGUACCGAAAGCUUGCUUACGGGUCAUUCAAGUUGGCGGUCAAAAGGUUAGAACGUGAUUAAAUUCGUUAAGGAUGUUGACGUA